GCAACGCCGCGUGAGUGAUGAAGGCCUUCGGGUCGUAAAGCUCUGUCAGAGGGAAAGAAAUGCAGUGGUGCUAAUACCGCCAUUGCUUGACGGUACCCUCAAAGGAAGCACCGGCUAACUCCGUGCCAGCAGCCGCGGUAAUACGGAGGGUGCGAGCGUUGUUCGGAAUUAUUGGGCGUAAAGCGCGUGUAGGCGGUCUUUUAAGUCUGAUGUGAAAGCCCCGGGCUCAACCUGGGAAGUGCAUUGGAAACUGGAAGACUUGAGUACGGGAGAGGGCAGUGGAAUUCCUAGUGUAGGAGUGAAAUCCGUAGAUAUUAGGAGGAACACCGGUGGCGAAGGCGGCUGCCUGGACCGAUACUGACGCUGAGACGCGAAAGCGUGGGGAGCAAACAGGGUUAGAUACCCUGGUAGUCCACGCCGUAAACGAUGAGUACUAGGUGUCGCGGGUAUUGACCCCUGCGGUGCCGCAGCUAACGCAUUAAGUACUCCGCCUGGGAAGUACGGCCACAAGGCUA
rnacentral:rRNA from 1 species